rnacentral:rRNA from 1 species
CCUACGGGAGGCAGCAGUAGGGAAUUUUCGUCAAUGGGCGCAAGCCUGAACGAGCGAUGCCGCGUGAGUGAAGAAGGCCUUCGGGUCGUAAAGCUCUGUUGCGGGGGAAAAAAGGCAGCAUCAGGAAAUGGGUGCUGACUGAUGGUGCCCCGCCAGAAAGUCGCGGCUAACUACGUGCCAGCAGCCGCGGUAAUACGUAGGUGGCGAGCGUUAUCCGGAAGGAUUGGGCGUAAAGGGUGCGCAGGCGGUCCUGCAAGUCUGGAGUGAAACGCAUGAGCUCAACUCAUGCAUGGCUUUGGAAACUGGAGGACUGGAGAGCAGGAGAGGGCGGUGGAACUCCAUGUGUAGCGGUAAAAUGCGUAGAUAUAUGGAAGAACACCAGUGGCGAAGGCGGCCGCCUGGCCUGUUGCUGACGCUGAGGCACGAAAGCGUGGGGAGCAAAUAGGAUUAGAUACCCCUGUAGUC